CGAGUCUUAAUUGGGCGUUAAGUUGCAGGGUAUAGACCCGAAACCCGGUGAUCUAGCCAUGGGCAGGUUGAAGGUUGGGUAACACUAACUGGAGGACCGAACCGACUAAUGUUGAAAAAUUAGCGGAUGACCUGUGGCUGGGGGUGAAAGGCCAAUCAAACCGGGAGAUAGCUGGUUCUCCCCGAAAGCUAUUUAGGUAGCGCCUCGUGAAUUCAUCUCCGGGGGUAGAGCACUGUUUCGGCUAGGGGGCCAUCCCGGCUUACCAACCCGAUGCAAACUGCGAAUACCGGAGAAUGUUAUCACGGGAGACACACGGCGGGUGCUAACGUCCGUCGUGAAGAGGGAAACAACCCAGACCGCCAGCUAAGGUCCCAAAGUCAUGGUUAAGUGGGAAACGAUGUGGGAAGGCCCAGACAGCCAGGAUGUUGGCUUAGAAGCAGCCAUCAUUUAAAGAAAGCGUAAUAGCUCACUGGUCGAGUCGGCCUGCGCGGAAGAUGUAACGGGGCUAAACCAUGCACCGAAGCUGCGGCAGCGAACGUAUCACCCAAGACAACUUUACGGAGUUGACGAUUGACGGAGCGAAGCGACGUCAAAGCGUUCAUUAAAGUCGAGUUGGCUUAGGGAUACGUUCGUUGGGUAGGGGAGCGUUCUGUAAGCCUGUGAAGGUGUGUCGUGAGGCAUGCUGGAGGUAUCAGAAGUGCGAAUGCUGACAUAAGUAACGAUAAAGCGGGUGAAAAGCCCGCUCGCCGGAAGACCAAGGGUUCCUGUCCAACGUUAAUCGGGGCAGGGUGAGUCGACCCCUAAGGCGAGGCCGAAAGGCGUAGUCGAUGGGAAACGGGUUAAUAUUCCCGUACUUGGUGUUACUGCGAAGGGGGGACGGAGAAGGCUAUGUUGGCCGGGCGACGGUUGUCCCGGUUUAAGCGUGUAGGUGUGUGUUCCAGGUAAAUCCGGUUCACUUUAACACUGAGGCGUGACGACGAGGCACUACGGUGCUGAAGCAACAAAUGCCCUGCUUCCAGGAAAAGCCUCUAAGCAUCAGGUAACAC
rnacentral:rRNA from 1 species